UACAAGAAAGCAACGUGGUACGUUGCAAAAGUCCGAGGUGAAGUGGUUAGCGAGAAACCAAUGACAGUCCGUUUGAAUUUUGAACCGUCUGGACGACCAUCGUCAGAAUAGGAUCGAUAUUAUCUUACGGACAAAGUUAACAAGUGUGUUGUGUGUGGUCAAUCGGAGUCGUUUCUUAGGAAAAACAUCGCUCCUCAUGAAUAUCGAAAACAUUUUCCCGACCACUUGAAGGACCAUAAAAGUCACGAUAUGUGGCUGCUUUGCAUUGAAUGCCACACAGUUUGCUACAGCCAUGAGAACACUAUAAGGAAUGAUUUGUCAUUGAAGGUCGACGCUCAAAUUGGUACCGAAAGGGACGUUAAGACAAAACUCGAUAAAAGACUGAGUGGUGUCCAGAAAGCUGCAAAUGCCUUAAUCCUUAACCGACAUGCAAUUCCAUCUGACAGAGCAGCAGUAUUAGAGGAUGUCAUAAAAAUUUACUAUGAAGUAGAAAAGCUGACACCAGAGAUCCUGGAGAUGACCAAAAUUCUCGAAGUUCAUUUGCCCAAUUCUGACUACGUUCCUCAUGGUUUAAAAGUAGUUCGCUAUUUUGAACAGGAGCAUCAUGGUGGAUUGUUGGCAUCGGAACGC